rnacentral:lncRNA from 1 species
AUACAAACAGUUUGAUGGCAUGGUGCAUUAUGUGAUUGAAGCUGAGUGUGCACUUUGGUUUUGACUGAAAACUAGAUAGUGAUUGUAGGAUUGAGUAUGAGAGCAUGCUACAAUUGAAGCAUGGGAUUUUUGUGGUGUUAAAAUCUGAGCUGAAUUUAGCAAUGCCGGUGAAUGUCUCUAUUUAAAACUUGGAUAUGAUCUUCGUCUUUUUGUUAUUAUUAUGUAUUGCUCUAAUAUCUUAUAUAGAUUUUUUUGUUCCAAGUUAGUUUGUUUAGUGACUUAGUUUAUUAUAGCUAGCUUAUAUGGUUACAGACAUGGGAAAUAGGAUACCACUUGACUUGGACAUGGUGCCUCGCCAAUUUAAGAAAAUGGUUAAGGCAUGGACACGUAAAGGACACAGCCAAUAAGUAUCAUAAAUUUGAGAAAGCAUUAUUAUUACUGAUCCCUCACUGAUGGCCAUGUGAGGAAUGAGUAACAGGAUAAUGGCACGCGAUGGAUGCAUGAUGGACACGUUUGUGAAGUGUCCGUCUGGUCAACACAGGAACAGCUCAGACACUAUAACAUUUGUGAAGAGUUCGUGUUUCUUACAUUUAUGAGUUCCUUUCCUUGUAGAAGAACUAUUUCCCAAACGAGAAACUAUUAUCUUUCUCUACAUGGUGUUUUCUUCCUUCUACUCAUCUAGGCCUUUGUUAGGGUUCCUCUCUGUGCUCCUUUUCUUCAAGCAAAUUAUGUAAGUUAAGACCUUUGUCAGGGUUUCUUCCGUAUCUCCUCUUUUUUCCUUUGUUCCAUUGUGUUAUUUUAAGCCUUUAUUGAAUGAGAUGCCAAUGGGCUUUCUCACAGCAAAGCAAGGAAAUAAAAGAGAAAUAACUAUCAAAUUUAUGUCCUUACUUUCUUUUACAACUAAAGUUUAUUUUGUUAACUAAACUCGGGUUAGGUGACUAUUAAAGGUGCAAACCUGUGUAGUUGUUCUUGCAUUUACUUUUUUAGUUUUUCUACUUACCCUCAAAGGUUCUGCUCAUGCAUCGACUCUCGUGAUAGCAAAGACUCUAUUGGGCUUCUGUUAUAAACAGAAUGAAAGUAAAUUCAAGUAGAAAGUAAAUUUAUGAAAACUUGGCUACAAGUAAUAGUAAAUUCAAGCAGAAAGCAAUUGACAUUUUUGAACCAGGCAAAGUUACUAAAAGAAACCAGUAAUCUAACAGACCUCCUGUUUUGUUUUACGCAAAUGUAUUUCUGUUAGUCUUUUAAAUUAUCAAUUCAUUUUAUUUAUUCUUAGGCUUUGAUCAUGGCAAUUUAGAUAAGUUAAUAUACAUAUUUUUGUGUCACUGGUGAAUAAUCAGGAGGGUUGGUUUCUGGGUUGGAACAAGGGAUAACUACAAUGAACAAACGGGAACUAGCACUGUUCACAUUGCCUUCUUCUUUGGGUUAUGGAGAGAGUGGAGCUCAAGGCGUUCCUCCUGGUGCUGAUAUUCAAUUUGAGGUGGAACUUAUAUCUUGGAUUGCAGUGGUGG